UACGUAGGUGGCAAGCGUUGUCCGGAUUUACUGGGCGUAAAGAGCGCGCAGGCGGCUGGUCAAGUCCGAUGUGAAAUCUCCCGGCUUAACUGGGAAACUGCAUCGGAAACUGAUCGGCUUGAAGGUGGGAGAGGGUAGUGGAAUUCCCGGUGUAGUGGUGAAAUGCGUAGAUAUUCGGAAGAACACCAGUGGCGAAGGCGACUUACUGGACACAUAUUGACGCUGAGGUGCGAAAGCGUGGGGAGCAAACAGG
rnacentral:rRNA from 1 species